GUACCCUCUGCUCGCAGCUCCUCUGAGCACGCCGUCUCAUCAUCACCGUCAUGAAUCAUCGUAGGAAAGUCCUAAAUCCCAGAGUUUGCAAUGUUAUAAAACUCACAACCUUUGGAAGGAACUAACCUCUUGCGGGUCAGGCAAAUUGGAGCUGAUAUAAUGCAAAGUGCACGGUGGUGGAUUUUAUUUAUUAUUAUUAUUUUUAGAUUUAUUCAUCAGUCCGUGCAGGAGGAAGUGAAGCCAUCACUGGAUACAAACGUAGGACAAGUGCAGCGUCAUGAGCGUGUAGAGGGAGGUGGAGAGCCGGGAGAGGCUUUGCUGAGGGAGUGGUAUUCAGAAGAACGAGAGUCAGGGUAUUUGAAACAUCUGACUUAUGCAAGACCACAGGGAAGAGGUUGCUGGCAUGACAUCCUCCACACUGUACCUGGCUCCUGUCACCUGCCAUAUCACCUCCUGCCCCACCUCCUCCUUCAAACCUCAACACAGGUGAGUUCUUGGCAUGAGGUACAUCUCUUCCCACACCAAAGGCUUCCACACAUGGCAACAUUGCCCUGCAAAACCUUUCUCUGUGUCAUCCUCACAGUACAGCAGGCACACGGUAGGUGCUCACUGCAGGCUUUGUUGCAAGAGCAGCUAGAUUCCUCUUUGAGCAGUUCUGGUAGGAGGUCAUUGGAUGGUUCUGUGAUAGGUCCGUGAUGGAGAAAUGAUUGCUAUCCAGAGGGAUGAUCGCUGUCCAGGGCUGGGUGUUUUAUGGACUGGCAGUUCUGUGUUUGGAUAAAAUUCUUUCUCGUUCUACCCAAAAUAUGCCUCCCUGGAGGUCAGUCCCUUGGUCCCUGUUCUGAACUCAGAUUCUACAGAAAGUGAACCCACUUCCAUGUGUCAGUCCUUUGAUGAGUGAAGGCGGUCAUCACGCCUACCCUGGGUUUUCCUUGCUUUUUAUUUUUGCAGCAUGAAUACUUACAGUGUCUUCACUAGGUUCAUCUUUCAGCACAGUUUCAACAUCGC
rnacentral:lncRNA from 1 species